ACUGUUUCCCGCCUUUCCCAGGAUCAUACCAUGUUUUCCCGCCACAAACUGUACAAAAGAACUGUAAUCACAGACUGGUGGUGCAGUCCAUCUUAGUGACUGUGCAUGGGCAGCUCGGGUCUUCGUGGCACUAGUGCACCAUCGAAGAAUACCAUUCACUCCCGAAGUGAGAGGAAAGAAGACGCAUUCCACCUUACCUGCUGCUGGGAACGUCAACAACCAGAGGGUCCUCGGUCCGUUUCUUCCAUCCCAACUGCCAUCGAGGGACUCUCCAGUGCUCCUCCUCUACGGGUUCCAGAUGCCCCUGGAGUGGAGGUUCUGGACUUCACCGCCGCCACGGAAGUGAUGGGAAUAUAAGUCAAGUAUGUGAAACCUGUGGAAUUGGAAUGUACUUGCCUUGUGCUGGAAAAUAUUUCAAAGCUCAAACGGAACCACACUGUCCCCACUGCAAUGAGUUUUGGCCACAUGAGAUUCCAGAAAUAAAUCGGCCAGAUUCCCAGUUGCCUUCAAGUGCCCCGAGGGAGAGGAGAAGAACCCCAUCCUCAGGAACAAGGCGGCGUUAGAAAGACCAGCUUCAGUUAGAGCGGCCAUUUUCUUUUGUUCUCUUACAGAUGCCCAAUUGCAGUUUACUUCCGCGUUGGUGUAAAAUGUGUCAUUCUGAAAGUAGGAAUGCCUAGGGAACAAAGUCAACUUUCUUUUUAUGGUUUGUUUUUACUCGGCUAAAAUCUUGCUAGAAGUUUGAAAAUAAAACUGUUGUGACUUUG